rnacentral:rRNA from 1 species
UUGACAUCCCGAUGCUAUUUCUAGAGAUGAAAGUUACUUCGGUACAUCGGUGACAGGUGGUGCAUGGUUGUCGUCAGCUCGUGUCGUGAGAUGUUGGGUUAAGUCCCGCAACGAGCGCAACCCCUAUUGUUAGUUGCCAUCAUUCAGUUGGGCACUCUAGCGAGACUGCCGGUAAUAAACCGGAGGAAGGUGGGGAUGACGUCAAAUCAUCAUGCCCCUUAUGACCUGGGCUACACACGUGCUACAAUGGUUGGUACAACGAGUUGCGAGUCGGUGACGGCGAGCUAAUCUCUUAAAGCCAAUCUCAGUUCGGAUUGUAGGCUGCAACUCGCCUACAUGAAGUCGGAAUCGCUAGUAAUCGCGGAUCAGCACGCCGCGGUGAAUACGUUCCCGGGCCUU